ensembl:lncRNA
CCAUUUUCUUGGGCCACUUCCCACGGCAUAUGGAGGUUCCCAGGCUAAGGGUCUAAUCAGAGCUGUAGCCACUAGCCUACACCAGAGCCACAGCAACGUGGGAUCUGAGCCACAUCUGCAACCUACACCACAGCUCACGGCAACGCCGGAUCGUUAACCCACUGAGCAAGGCCAGGGAUCGAACCCGCAACCUCAUGGUUCCUAGUCGGAUUCGUUAACCACUGAGCCACGACGGGAACUCCCAACCUGUAACAUUUCUGCUUCUGUGUAUCUGUAUCUUUUCUAGGUACCCCAAAUAAUUGGAAUCAUACAAUAUUUGUCCAUUUGUAUCUGGCAGCAUGAUGUCUUUCAAGGUUCAUCCAUGUUGUAGCAUAGAUCAAAAUUUCCUUUCUUUUUAUGGCUGAAUUAUAUUCCAUUGAAUAUACACCACAUUUUGUUAAUCAAUUCACCUACUUAGAUACAAGUUAUUUCCACCUUUGGCUACUGUAAAUAAUGCUGCAGUGAACACUGGUGUACAAGUCCCUGCUUUCAAUUCCUUUGUGUAUAUACCUUGAAGCAAAAACGCUGAAUGAAAUGGUAAUUCUGUUUAGAUUUCUGAAGAACCGCCAAACUGUUUUCCACAGUAGCAGCACCAGUUUACCUUCCUAGCAGCGAUGAACAAGAGUUCAAAUUUCUCCAUAUCCUCAUCAAUCCUUGAGGGGAAGGCAAGGCCCAGAAAAGGGCCUUUUCCCUGCUACCCUGGGAUGCCUGCAAGCUACUGGAACUGACUGAGGGGCUUGGGAAUAACAGCAAAGGACUGCAGCCAGAACAGCAGCUAGGAGAGUUUCCCCGUUGGCUGCAGGCAAGGUGGUAAAUCUCUAAGCAAAAACCAUGAGGGCUGGAAGAGCUGGGCCUGCCUGCUUCUGAAAAUGAGAGCACCUAAAAAUGGAAGGUCUAGCUAGACAGACCUUCUCACAGGGCACCGGACUACAGUAGCAGAGCAUGCAUAGGAUAACUGAGGGGACCCAGGGGUCUCUAAAGUGGAGCACACUUGACCCUGAGGUGCUCAAAUGACCCACUCCAGUUCAGGAAGAAAGUACUAGAACACCUAUUUAUGUUUAUUUUUAUAUCAUCCUUUUAAGCGUGUGUGUGAAUGUGUGUCUUAUAGAUACAUUAUUGUGGCAUUUUAUGAAUUUAUAAAUGAGCAUAUAUUAGGGUAUGUGCUAAUUUAUUAAUGGGACAUACACGAUCAAAAAAGUUUGAGGACUCCAACCUUAGACUUCCUUUGUUGCCUUUUUUUCUUUCCUGAUUUUUUUUUUGUCUUUUUGUUGUUGUUGUUGUUGUUGUUGUUGCUAUUUCUUGGGCCGCUCCCGCGGCAUAUGGAGGUUCCCAGGUGCGGCCCUAAAAAGACAAACAAAACAAAAAACUAAAAAAGAACAACCAAAGGACAGGGAGCUUGGCAUCAAGGCCUCCUGGAAAGCCCACCAAUGAUAACAGGGCCAUUGAAACCCUCCCAGUCAGCACAAAACCACUUAUUUCAACAGAAACACUGAAAUCAUUCCAGCGCAUGCAUGCUCUCGAUGUCCUAUUUUUUAAAUUCCCUACCUUGUUUUUUAAAUUGGCUGUUAAAUUUCAGCUCAACAACUCACCAGGUACAUUAUUAACUGCAAACACUUCUGUGGUUUUGCUAGUUAAAGUUUAGAAAAGAACACUCCCAUUAAAAUAUAAUUUCUCCAGCAACCCCCAAGAACAGCCUAGAGCACAUUUCAUUAGGGCAAAUUUCAAUGAGCACCCCAGCUUCCUCCCACAGGAUUUCCCCAAACUGGCCUCUGUUCUUCUACAGCAGAGCUAAGGGGAAAUCUGGACAACUCACACUGACCCUCGGCUGGGUAUCUGAGGUCUGGGCAGUGCUGAUCAAAGACAGGCAUUAAAGAGACACUCAUGUAUGACUCUCUACCAGGCUCAGGAUGGGGACAGGAGAACAGCUCUGCUUAAUGCCACAAGGCCCUCCAUGCCUGGGGCCCACUCUUUGCAGCCACUGUCUGGACACAAGUCACCUCCUCCCAGGAGAGAGCAGUCCACCAGCUAUCACUUCCACUUUGCCUCCCUCCACUAGCUACUUGCACCCCUUCUCCAACGCCUAGAAGCUCUCCAGACUAGGUUCCUCUGGUGUGACAAAUCAGAAGCCCAGAAUAAGACCCCGACAAGUGUUUAUUUGUCUGUGCCCUCCAGGUAGCAGGGUGAUUUAGGCAUCCGUAUUAGACACAUAGACUUGCCAGCCUGCUGCCACAACCCCCACCCCUCAGCAGCCAAUUGCAUAUCCUUCUUUGGACCAACUGCUUGGGAAGAGGGGCUCAUCUAAACAUGAGGAAGUUGCUCCCUGUUUAACCAGUCCCCCAAUGUUCCUUGGGGUGGAAUGGGAGCUCAGGGCAUUCAGGAAAAGGGGAAAGAAGUGAUGCAGAUAAGGAAAGAGGGAGAGAAAGGGAAGGGGGAGAGAGGGAGAGAGAGAAACAGAAAGAACAAGCAGACAGAACCCCAUUCAGCCCAGCCAAACUUAAAAGUUCAAUGGGGAUCUGGUGCAGACAGAGGAAAUAGAGAGCUACGGGGCUCUACCAACAGGAAGUCAUCUGGAUGUCAAAAGGACAGGCUGCCAAAGUAGUGCAUGGUUUGGCAAACCCACCCUAAGGUGAGGAGGCUUCAGGCACCCCUUAAUGCUCAAAAGCAGAGAGACCUGCCUCCCACUCCUCCCUGGCAACCGCUAGAGAAACUGCUCCCAGACUUAGAUCUGGAUACAAAGACAGCGCACACAGGAGGCUCUAUCAGACCCACUGGGCCUCAUGGAAAGGCCACUCUCUGGUCUCAUUUCUGCCCAACUCAGAGGUGAGCCAGUGCCUAGAUCAGGCCUCCUCCCGCCAUCACCUGUGGUCUCAGGGCCUUCCAGGGCAAGGCUCCCUCCUUUGCCCUCUGUUCCCCAGGGUUCCUCUGGAUGCUGCUGUCUAACUCUGCCUCUGCCUCUGCCAUGCCAUCUGGGUUGGUUUGCCCUAUGCUGCACCAGAUGAGGGUGACAGAGCUGCUGCACACCCACCGGCCCUCUCUGAAGGGCUGCUUUGUGUUUCUUGCUAGCACAGGAAGAAAACUGUUUUUGCAGCUGAACAACACAGUUUGGAGUCUUCAAUCGAGCGAUGAAGGCCAAAAGCCACCCGGCACACCCAUGCCACCCUCCUCGCUACCAAGAAUGCCCAGAGGCAGAGGCUGGCACGUUCAACCUGUAAGCCCAACAAGGCCCAAUCCCAGGCUAGGCAUCCUACCGCACUGCAGACUUCUCAGGAACCUGCUAGUGCCUGACAGUCUCUGGAAAUGAACCUACCACUUUUUCUGGAAUGCCUUCCCUAAACACCAUGACAAGAAGCAGUUAAUGCUAACCUAGAUCCUUUCUACUUCAACUUAAGUCCAUCUGGAGUCUCAGCAGAAACGCAGACUGCCUGAUGCCCUUCCUUGUGAACCUCUGACACACCACAAAUGCAGAAGGCUGACCUCAUGGGCCAUGAAAAGGAAAAUUUAGAGGUUUGUGGGAAGAAGAGAAGGCAGGAAAAGAUUCCGGCUCUUUUGAAGCAGGCGAUUGCCUGGAGCUACCUCAUUCCCCCAUCUCUGCCCCCUCACCAAAUGUCAACCACAUCUAUCACCUGACUACAGACAGCACUGAGCUGGGAGGGAGACCAGUGUGCCUGAUGACAGAAUUGAGGCUAAAGGAUCUCAACGGGCUGAUUUUCUGGACCCAGACCAGCCAGAGGAUAUCUACAGGGAUAUGCUUAAAGACCUAAUAUUGAGUCCAAAAUCUCCCAGCAGGGAUACAAGAGAGGAGAGACAUGCAGCGCAUCAACCCUUGAUGUAUUAUGAUUACAUAGUAAAAGGGAACCCAUUUUGAUUUUAGGCUAUAUUAAUAGAGGUAUAAUAUUGAGAAAGAGAGAGAUGAUGAUACCACUCUCUUCUGAGCUGGCCUAACACCAGCUGGCACACAGUUCAGUUCUACAUAUCACAGUACAGUGGGUCUGCACUGCUUCUAUGCAUCCCCUCAUUAGAAAAAGCCAUCACUCCCCAUGCUGUUGUGUUGUGACUGUCAACCAGCAUGCACCACCCCCAAGGGUGGGCCCCUGAUCCAAGCAGGCAAAAUCAGAAUUUUCCUUAAGUGACCUAUAGAUCCUGAGAGAGUGAGCACCUCUCUGACAAGGGAUUUGGUAGAAUUGAAAGGAGAGAUAAUAAAGCUGUCAAAAUGUCCUUUGAAUGCCACGGGUGCGGCCCUAAAAAAAAGAGAAAAGUCCUUUGAGCACUAAGGUCUGACAGUGCCAAGACCAGGCCAGAUCUACCCUUGAAGUUUCCAGUUACUGGAGUCAAUGUAUUUCCUAUUUAAGCUAGUCUGUCACUUCCAACCUGGAGAGUUGACUAAUAGCAUAUUGUAAGAGGAUUACCGAUAAGAUGGAAUAUGUCCAAAGUAGCAUCAAAGACAGUAAGUUACUGAAAAACCAUGUUUCCGAAAAGAACAAGACGGUUUAAUUUGGAAAAGGGGAAGUUCAGAGCCACAUGGGAGCCUCUUUAAAUACUGAAAGGAAGAAGACUUCUAUGAUGGGCCAGAAGGCACACCCAAGACAUGGGUGGAAGUUUUGGAACACAGAACUUCUAGGAAUUCUGAAUAACACAACAAAAGUGAUGAAUCUGAACCCAUCGCCUGCUCUAUUCCCUCAGACUCACUGGAUUAAAGCAAAUCCCUUUAUCAUUCCAAAGUAGUUUCUUAUCUUGAGCAAACUGCAACUUUUACAAACCUUAACUUCCAAUAUGUAGAAUGGGGGAGGU